rnacentral:rRNA from 1 species
UACGGAGGGUGCAAGCGUUAUCCGGAUUCACUGGGUUUAAAGGGUGCGUAGGUGGGCUAGUAAGUCAGUGGUGAAAUCUCCGGGCUUAACCCGGAAACUGCCAUUGAUACUAUUAGUCUUGAAUGUCGUGGAGGUAAGCGGAAUAUGUCAUGUAGCGGUGAAAUGCUUAGAUAUGACAUAGAACACCAAUUGCGAAGGCAGCUGGCUACACGAAUAUUGACACUGAUGCACGAAAGCGUGGGGAUCAAACAGG